GCGGCGCUGCGCGGCGCGGCUGCCGGGAGUCCCCGGCACGGGUUGCGGGCCGGGGCGGAAAGGUCUCCUGGCUGUCUGAGGUCCAGUCCCCGACUCUGGGCCUGCAGCAGCGAGUGGCGGCGAGGGAACCGCACCCCACAGUCCCCGCGGGCGGGGAUGCGGAAGGCACCGCGGCUGGGAGGGGACCGGCCCUCCGCGCCCCACCCCGUGCACGCGCUCACUCCUGCGGCGCACCCGGAACUGCCGCCGAGCGCGGACCGGCCCGGCCCAGCCCAACCCAGCCCAACCCAGCACUGGGGGAGCGCGCCGGGAGCGGGGCAGGAGCCCAGCGCUGCCGCUCGCUACGGCAGGAUCUGGAGCGCCGCGCUGCACCUGAGCCCGGGCACGAAUUGAGGAGCCUCGGGCUGACGCCAUUUAUUCAGCACCUACUAUGUGCCAGGCCUUGUUUAGGCACCGGAAGAUAACAGAUAAGACAUAAAGAUCCCUGCCGGUAUAGCUGCAGACAGAAUAUCUGUGAGGAUGACACAGGUAGAGAUUAGAAAAUUAAGUUCAACAGGUCGGCCGCGGUGGCUCACGCCUGUAAUCCCAGCACUUUGGAAGGCCGAGGCGGGCCAAGGUCAAGAGAUCGAGACCAUCCUGGCCAACAUGGUGAAACCCCGUUUCUACUAAAAAUACAAAAAUUAGCUGGGCGUGGUGGUUCGCUCCUAUAGUCCCAGCUACUCGGGAGGCUGAGGCAGGAGAAUCGUUUGAACCCGGGGGCAGAGGUUGCAGUGAGCCAAGAUCGCGCCACUGCACCCCAGCCUGGCGACAGAGCAAGACUCUGUCUCAAAAGAAAAAAAAUUAAGUUCAACAAAUGCUAGCUGUUAUGAGUACUGUUGAAUGUGCUACAGAGAACCAUUCCAUUAGCCCAGAAGGGCUUCCUCGCUCCACAAAGUGACUCAAGUUUCUCUCUCCCAAUCUCUCUCUCUCUCUCUCAAUCAAAUAUUUGUUAAGCUUAGUCUAGGUAGCAGGAGAGAUCUGGAUUGCUAACAAUAUCUGCCUCCGUGGCCUGUUUGCUUUGGUUAAAUCAAAUUAGGCGAUCUGUGAGGGGAUGGUAAACUGCACAGAUGACAGGAAUUGUUUCCCUGAGCCAGGCCCUGUCCUCAGGGAGCUCAUAGACAAGUCGAAGCUUUCACAGGUAGCCACUGGCAGAAAAAGCAUACGGGUAAGUCUCGCAAGAAUGGUAUUGGAUGAGUAUUACAGAAAUUCAAGGAAGAGAAUGGCACACGCAGUAGAUACUUAUUGAGCAUCUGCUAUGUGCCAAGCACUGUGCUAGGCUCUGGAAAUAGAGCAAUGAGCAAAAUAACCCACAUGGUUGUGGAGCUUGAGUGUUGUCAGGGAGACAGUCGGCCACCAGGCAAAUACAGUGUCCAAGGCCAGGCACAGUGGCUCACGCCUGUAAUCUCAGCACUUUGGGAGGCCGAGGUGGGCAAUCGCUUGAAGUCAGGAGUUCCAGAUCAGCCUGGCUAACAUGGCGAAACCCCGUCUACUAAAAAUACACAAAGUUAGCCGAGGCCGGGCGCAGUGGCUCACGCCUGUAAUCCUAGCACUUUGGGAGGCCGAGGUGGGCGGAUCACGGGGUCAGGAGAUCGAGACCAUCUUGGCUAACACGGUGAAACUCCGUCUCUACUAAAAAUAAAAAAAUUAGCUGGGCGGGAUGACGGGCGCCUGUAGUCCCAGCUACUCGGGAGGCUGAGGCAGGAGAAUGGCGUGAACCCGGGAGGCGGAGCUUGCAGUGAGCCGAGAUCGCGCCACUGCACUCCAGCCUGGGCGACAGAGAGAGACUUCGUCUCAAAAAUAAAAUAGUAAUAAUAAUAAUACAGUGUCGGGUAGUGAUUAGAGAUAAUGAGAAAAAUUCAAGCAAACAGGUAGGCAGGCAAGGCCUAACUUAGCAAUAUUUGAUCAUAUAGCUGAAGGGAAGGAGGGAGCAAGCCGUGUGGAUAGCAGAGGCACAAGGAGCAGCAAGGGUAAAAACCCUGAAGGUGACAGUGCUGCAUCAGCACUGGUGUGUUUUCAAGGGCCAGACAGGAGGCCAGUGUGGCUAGCCUAGGUCGAGCAGGAGCUGAAGGACAGGGCAAUGACAAGAUUUGACCUAGGCUUUAAAAGGAUCAUGAGGCUGCUGUGUUCUGAAUGGACUGUAGGGGGACUAGGGCCUUAGAAAGCCAUUUCUAUAUUGAGGACAUUUAUUUAUUUAAAAAGCACUGAUAUGGCACAUCCUAUGUGAUGAACACUGUUAAGCACCUUACAGAUAAUAAGCCAUUUAAUCCUCAUGACAGAAGCCUGAAAAGGUAAGGAGCUUGCCCAAGGUCACACAGCAGAGAGAUGAAGCUGGCUUAGACCAGGGUAGUAGCAUUGGAGAUGGCAAGAAGUAGAUAGUAUUCUAGGUAUUUCCUGAUGUAUUGGUGGUAGGCAUGAGAAGAAAGGAAUCAAGGAUGAUGCUAAGAUUUUUUUUUUCAUAUUUAAAGACUUUGUCUUCUGUUGUUUUUUGUUUUGAGACAGUGUCUCAGUUCUGUUGCCCAGACUGGAGUGCAGUGGCGCAAUCAUAGCUCACUGCAGCCUCAACACCCCCGGACUCAAGUGAUCCUCCCACCUCAGCCCCUCCCCACCCCCGCCCUGAGUAGCUGGGACUACAGGCGUGCAUCACCGUGCCAGGCUAAUUUUUUUGUAGAGACUGAGUCGCACUGUAUUACCCAGGCUGGUCUCGAACUCCUGGGCUUAAGCAAUCCUCCCACCUCAGCCUCCUAAAGUGCUGGGAUUACAGGCAUGAGCCACUGCACCCGGCCAAGACUUUGUUUUUUAGAGCAGUUUUAGUUUCACAAGAAAAUUGAGAGGAAGGUACAGAGACAAUCCAUAUAUACCCCCCUGCCCCACAUAUGCAGAGCCUCCCUGAAUUGUCCCCAUUCCCCACUAGUGUGGUACAUCUGUUGCAAAUAACCUGCAUUCAUACAUCGUGAUCACCCAAUAGUUUACAUUAGGGUUCACUUAUACAAUCUAUGGGCUUGGAGAAGUGGAUAAUUACAUCUAGCCACCGUUAGAACCAUCAUACGGAAUAUUUUCACUGCCCUAAAAAUCCCCCGUGUUCCACCUCUUCAUCCCCUUUCCCCCAGCUCCUGGCAACCACUGAUCUUUUUACUCCAUAGUUUUGCCUGAUGCUAAGGUUUUUGGCUUAACACUGGAAGGAUUUACCAUUUAUUGAUCUGGGGAAGACUGUAGGAGGAGCAGGGUUUUUCUGAGGAGAGGGUUGUGGAUAAGAGGGAGCAAGUUAUGUUUGAGAUGCCUAUUGGAGAUUUUUUUGUUUUUGUUUUUGAGAUGGAGUCUCACUCUGUCGCCCAGGCUGGAGUGCAGUGGUGCGAUCUCGGCUCACUGCAGCCUCCGUCUCCUGGAUUCAAGCAAUUCUCCCACCUCAGCCUCCCAAGGAGCUGGGACUGCAGGCGUGCGCCACCACGCCUGGCUGAUUUUUGAAUUUUUAGCAGAGACAGGAUUUCACCAUGUUGGCCAGGCUGGUCUUGAACUCCUGACCUCAAAUGAUCUGCCCGCCUUGGCCUCCCAAAGUUCUAGGAUUACAGAUGUGAGCCACCAUGCCUGGCCUCCUACUGGAGAUUUUUUAUUUUAUUUUAU
rnacentral:lncRNA from 10 species